CUGAUGAAAUAGUACACAGCUAUUACGGGAGUAGGAAGGUGAUGGCUAUCGAGAGGUAUAACAUACUCAUUCAAUUACUACAAAAUUGAUCCCAAAAUAAUUCAAGAGAAAAUACCAUAAAAGUCCAAUUGAGGUACAAAAUUGCAUGGCUGUGCAUACAGCUAAGAAAAAUGAGUGAUGGGAAGUGCAUAUAUGCAUACCAAGAGAGGUGCUAAGGCCACCAAUAAGGGACAGAGCGAGAGCAACAACAACUUUGGGAUCCAUGUGUAUAUCUGUUGAUUGAUGGAUUUAUCUCUCCCUGUAUAUGUGAGCUUUGGCGUCUACAGCAACUAUGGGAGGAAAAUGAAUGUAUGCUGUUACUAGAAGAACCAGUAGUACUAAUGAUAGUGAGGAUGGACGGAUGUGAAAGGUAAAGUAAUAACUUCUGUUGUGGUGAUGGAGAUGGAUGCACCAUUAUAAACAAGCGAGGCUGGGUGGCUAUGACGUUACAUAGUUAUGGAUCUUGUUUUAUAGUUGAUCAUGUAUAUUAACGGCUAAUCAGUUGAUUUUAAUAUGAAAAGUAGAGAGGGGGGUGAUCAAGUGGAGCAUGGGAUAACUACUGGGUGAUGCAUUAGUUCAGCUAAGUUGAGCGGGGCACGUUUGGAAUGACUUGGCACAUGCUUGCUUGCUAACUUAUGUAAUUCGUGGGUAUCCUCAUAGUUAAGCUAUGUUUCACUUGAGGUAUGCCUGCAGGUAAGGUAAUUUCUGCUAGCUUUCUUGUAAAGAUGGGAAGGUAUGUAGCUAGGGCUGAGUUUGGGAACUCCAAGCCUCUUUUAGUAAAUAGUAGAGAGAUAUUUAUUUAAUUCCUGAAAAAUUGUGUGAAGUGAGAGUUACUAGUAGUGCCUGCAGGUGAUAUAUGGCAUAAGUAACCCAACAGGUGACAAGUAACCCCCGUUAUUCUUGUAAUGUAUUAUGCUCUUCCAAUGCAAUUUGUUGCUUCAUCUUGGGCCCCCUGUGUACUCAUCCUUGGUAGAAAAACAGAGCUUACAAACUUGGGAGUUCAAAAUAGCCAAAAAAAAACUUAGCUAGCUAGGUGAAAGUAAUGCUUAAUUAAUAUUUUUUGUGUAUUGUCCUCUUGCAAAGUUGAUGUGCACAGGCAACUGCAUCAGAUCUAUAACAUACCCUACCAUAUUACAGUGAAACGGAGGAGAUCUCAGGGAAUGGCUGAAGUUGCAUUGGACCAAUCUUGGUCCGACAAGCCUCCAAGACAAACUUGGAUUCAAUUUCGUUCUGGCAGAUCGGUAAGGUGACAGAUAUACUGUAUUUGUCUUUUAUGUGCCGCUUGCGUUAUGGUAUGAUUGAACAGAAUAAUUCGUGUCACAAAUCGAUGUUUAAUCCUGCAGGUAUGAAUGCCAUCCUCGCAAGCAUUGCGCAAGUUGAUAGUGGUGAUAUUCUUGAAAAGAAAAAAUCGAUAGUGGUAAUGAGAAAAGCACAGGAGGAGGACAAGAGGACAAGUGAGGCGGCAAGCUAAGAAGACGGUGGCUUGGCGUGCUUGGCGUAAUCUAACUUGAUUACCAGGCAGAGGCAGACAAACAGUGAGUGCAUCAUAGUAUACAUGAGCUCUAUAUAUAUAUACUUAAUUUGCAGCCAUUUUUUUCCUUCUUGUGCGUGCCUUUAUUUAUGUCUGCUUUGGUCAGCAGCUGGAUUCUAGCUCGAUGGAAGAUGUUCCUGCCACAUGUGCAUGCAUUCAUGCUGGCUUAAGGAAAUUAUUCAGGGAGACAUGAUGCCCAAGCAAGAAGAUCGAGGGCAGGGCUGCUCCAGAUGAGAUCAUCAGCCGCAGCUACACCUCUACCUCUGCUUCUUGUUUUCCUCUACCUGUAGGCUGUAGCAACAACAAGUUUUCCUCUACCCCUCUGCUUCUUGUUUAGCAACAACAAUAGUACUACUGCUCUGCUUCCUGUGUGUCAUCUGCAUCAAUGAUCUGUGAUGAUCUAUUGGAUGUAUCUCAGUAUCUGUGCUUAUAGCUUUCCACCAUCGAAUCGAACAUGCACGACUCAUUUUCUGGUAUUUCUCAGUCAAAUUUCUUUAAAUUUGAUCAAAUUUAUAAAAGAAAAACAUAGCAAUAUUUUCAGUACAAAACAAACAUACUAUGAGAAUGUAUUAUAUUUAUUUGAUGUUAGAUUUAAUAAAAUUAAUAUGAUAUUGUAGAUGUAUUAGUACUAUGCAAUUUUAGUUUGUUUUCUACAGAGUAUUAAUAUUUUCAUUUAGAGAGUAGCCCACGUGGUUGUCAAGGUCGCAUAUCUUACGCUUCGUGUAAUUAAUUAACUGCUGAUAACAUCAAACAAAAUUGAACGGAGCUUUCUUUUCUACUCCAUUUUCCCUCCCUGUUUCAUACCGUAAGACGCUCUUUUAGUAUGAGUAAGUUUAUAGAAGAUUAGACAAGAUGCCUAUUGAUAUAGCUUCAUAAGCAUGCAUAUUAAUGGGUGGU
rnacentral:lncRNA from 1 species